CCUACGGGGGGCAGCAGUGAGGAAUAUUGGUCAAUGGCCGCAGGGCUGAACCAGCCAAGUCGCGUGAGGGAUGACGGUCCUAUGGAUUGUCAACCUCUUUUGUCAGGGAGCAAAGAGCGCCACGUGUGGCGCUUUGCGAGUACCUGAAGAAAAAGCAUCGGCUAACUCCGUGCCAGCAGCCGCGGUAAUACGGAGGAUGCGAGCGUUAUCCGGAUUUCUUGGGUUUAAAGGGUGCGCAGGCGGAAUGUCAAGUCAGCGGUAAAAUUUCGGGGCUCAACCCCGUCGUGCCGUUGAAACUGGCGUUCUUGAGUGGGCGAGAAGUAUGCGGAAUGCGUGGUGUAGCGGUGAAAUGCAUAGAUAUCACGCAGAACUCCGAUUGCGAAGGCAGCAUACCGGCGCCCAACUGACGCUGAAGCACGAAAGCGUGGGUAUCGAACAGGAUUAGAUACCCCUGUAGUC
rnacentral:rRNA from 1 species